rnacentral:rRNA from 1 species
UACGAAGGGGGCUAGCGUUGCUCGUAAUCACUGGGCGUAAAGGGCGCGUAGGCGGGCUCUUAAGUCAGAGGUGAAAGCCCAAGGCUCAACCUUGGAAUUGCCUUUGAUACUGAGGGCCUUGAGACCGGAAGAGGUCGGCGGAACUGCGAGUGUAGAGGUGAAAUUCGUAGAUAUUCGCAAGAACACCAGUGGCGAAGGCGGCUCGCUGGCCGUUCCUGACGCUGAGGCGACGGCAA